rnacentral:tRNA from 1 species
ACUUAAAUAGCUUAACGAGAGCAUAAUAUUGAAGAUAUUAAGGUGAUAAUUUAUCUUUAGGUA